rnacentral:rRNA from 1 species
GGGUGCGAUCAUAGCAGCGUUAAUGCACUGGAUCCCUUCAGAACGCCGCAGUUAAGCGAGCCUGGGCUAGAGUAGUACUGGGAUGGGUGACCUCCGGGGAAGUCGUAGUGUUGUACACU